GGGAGUAGUCUCUUUCCCGCCGACGGGGCGUUUCGCGCCUCUUCGCGCAUGCAAUGAAAGGUUUGCGUCAACACCUUUGGCCAUCCCGGCCAUGGCGCAAACAGCCUCCGGGCCUGACGAGACUCAGAACACCCGCUUCCGGUGCCGGCAGCGAGGUGUUCUGACCGUGACUCGCCGGCGCCGUG
rnacentral:sRNA from 2 species